AGCCUAAUGAAAUCAUCUUAGGUGACUUCUGCCCGUUGCAAAUGUGAAAGGCCGCAGUACCUUGACUGUGCUAAGGUAGCGAAAUCAGUUGACUUUUAAAUGGAGCCCAGAAUGAAAGGAACAACGGGGGAUUGCUGUUUCUUUUUAUAAUAAAACUUUAUUAAAAGGUGAAAAUUCCUUUAAUUAGAUGAAAGACGAGAAGACCCUGGGAUUUUUAGAUGCUUUUUGUUGGGGCAACAACAAAUGCUCGUUUGUAGUUAAACUCCUUGCUAAUAAGGAACGAGAAAAAUACCCCAGGGAUAACAGCAUAAUUAAAUAUUAGCUUAUGACCUCGAUGUUGGACUAGGACUUUUUUGGUUAGAAGCCUAAAAAAGUUGUUCUGUUCGAACCUUAUAUCCUACAU
rnacentral:rRNA from 1 species